UACAGAGGUCUCAAGCGUUGUUCGGAUUCAUUGGGCGUAAAGGGUGCGUAGGCGGCGCGGUAAGUCGGGUGUGAAAUCUCGGAGCUUAACUCCGAAACUGCAUUCUAUACUGCCGUGCUUGAGGACUGGAGAGGAGACUGGAAUUUACGGUGUAGCGGUGAAAUGCGCAGAUAUCAGGAGGAACACCGAUGGCGAAGGCAGGUCUCUGGGCCACUACUGACGCUGGGAAGCGAAAGCAUGGGGAGCGAACGAG
rnacentral:rRNA from 1 species